rnacentral:rRNA from 1 species
GACGAACGCUGGCGGCGUGCUUAACACAUGCAAGUCGAACGAAAAGAGGGAAAGAGCUUGCUCUUUCCGGAAUUGAGUGGCAAACGGGUGAGUAACACGUAAACAACCUGCCUUCAGGAUGGGGACAACAGACGGAAACGACUGCUAAUACCGAAUAAGUUCCAAGGGCCGCAUGGCCCAUGGAAGAACAGGUGGCCUCUACCUGUAAGCUAUCGCCUGAAGAGGGGUUUGCGUCUGAUUAGCUGGUUGGAGGGGUAACGGCCCACCAAGGCGACGAUCAGUAGCCGGUCUGAGAGGAUGAACGGCCACACUGGAACUGAGACACGGUCCAGACUCCUACGGGAGGCAGCAGUGGGGAAUCUUCCGAAAUGGGCGAAAGCCUGACGGAGCAACGCCGCGUGAGUGAUGACGGCCUUCGGGUUGUAAAACUCUGUGAUCCGGGACGAAAAGGCAGAGUGCGAAGAACAAACUGCAUUGACGGUACCGGAAAAGCAAGCCACGGCUAACUACGUG